rnacentral:rRNA from 1 species
CGAACGCUGGCGGCACGCUUAACACAUGCAAGUCGAACGGUAACAGGCCCUUCGGGGCGCUGACGAGUGGCGAACGGGUGAGUAACACGUGGAAACCUGUCCCGGGGCGGGGGACAACAGUUGGAAACGACUGCUAAUACCGCAUACGCCCUACGGGGGAAAGAUUCAUCACCCUGGGAGGGGUCCGCGUUGGAUUAGCUUGUUGGUGGGGUAAAGGCCCACCAAGGCGACGAUCCAUAGCUGGUCUGAGAGGAUGAUCAGCCACACUGGGACUGAGACACGGCCCAG